UGCGUAGAGAUCCGGAGGAACACCAGUGGCGAAGGCGACACGCUGGGCCUGACCUGACGCUAAGACGCGAAAGCAUGGGGAGCGAACGGGAUUUAGAAACCCCGGUAGUCCAUGCCGUAAACGAUGCUUACUAAGUGUUGCGCCUUAACCGGUGCGGUGCUGAAGCCAACGUGAUAAGUAAGCCACCUGGGGAGUACGGUCGCAAGAUUAAAACUCAAAGGAAUUGACGGGGACCCGCACAAGCAGCGGAGCGUGUGGUUUAAUUCGAGGCUACACGAAGAACCUUACCUGGGCUUGACAUGCCAGUGGUAGGAACGUGAAAACGGACCGACCUUCGGGAGCUGGCGCAGGUGCUGCAUGGCUGUCGUCAGCUCGUGUCGUGAGAUGUUCGGUUAAGUCCGGUAACGAGCGCAACCCUCGUCGUUAGUUACAGGUGUCUUACGAGACUGCCCGUUGAACGCGGGAGGAAGGUGGGGAUGACGUCAAGUCAGCAUGGCCUUUAUGCCCAGGGCUACACACACGCUACAAUGGCCGGUACAAUGGGUCGCCAACCCGCGAGGGGGAGCCAAUCCAACAAAGCCGGUCUCAGUUCGGAUUGUAGGCUGCAACUCGCCUGCAUGAAGUCGGAGUUGCUAGUAACCGCAGGUCAGCUAUACUGCGGUGAAUACGUUCCCGGGUCUUGUACACACCGCCCGUCACGUCAU
rnacentral:rRNA from 1 species